GAUCCUGGCUCAGGAUGAACGCUAGCGACAGGCUUAACACAUGCAAGUCGAGGGGCAUCACGGUGUAGCAAUACACUGGUGGCGACCGGCGCACGGGUGAGUAACACGUAUGCAACCUGGCCUUAUCAGGGGGAUAAUCGGGGGAAACCCCCGUCUAAUACCGCGUAUAUGGUAUAGAGGCAUCUUUGUACCAAGAAAGGAGUGAUCCGGAUAAGGAUGGGCAUGCGGGACAUUAGGUAGUAGGUGAGGUAACGGCUCACCUAGCCGACGAUGUCUAGGGGUUCUGAGAGGAAGGUCCCCCACACUGGAACUGAGACACGGUCCAGACUCCUACGGGAGGCAGCAGUGAGGAAUAUUGGUCAAUGGGCGCAAGCCUGAACCAGCCAAGUAGCGUGAAGGAUGACUGCCCUAUGGGUUGUAAACUUCUUUUAUACGGGAACAAACUCCGGUACGUGUACCGGUCUGCGUGUACCGUAUGAAUAAGCAUCGGCUAACUCCGUG
rnacentral:rRNA from 1 species